rnacentral:lncRNA from 1 species
UUGGGAUUUUCCUCUUGCUUUCUCGGAUUCGUCUUCUCCGCUGAUUUCCGGCCGGAAAAUCUGUUUUCCUUAUUUUUCUGAUCUUCUUCCUCCGCCAAACCAGGAGGCCGCAGAGGCGAGGAGCCGGCUGGAGGCCCUGAAAGAGAGGAAUUCCAUGUUAAAGAAGCUGGGAUUAAAGGUGCAUUGCCUGCUUUCAUGAGUAAUCAUGUGGGGAGGGGUGUUACUGUUGCGAUCUGCUCUAUUCUCCGCCAUUAAUGCGCUCCUUCAAUGUCCUUCCCCCUCGCGGAGCUUAUUAUUUCCUUGUUUCUCGUUCCAUCCUUUGAUCGAUUCGAUUCUGUUUCUCCAUCUGUUGAUUGAUU